GUGACGGCUCCUGGAUGAGAAAAGUGCGUGUUUGUUUCCUUAUUUUAUAGUAUAGGUCCUGGGAUUUCCGUUUCUGUGGGGAGGGGAUAUAGGGAUCCUGAGCGAGGGGCAGCUGCAGCUCCUCAAAGAAGGACGGGGACUAGAUUUUUCCUUUUCUUGUACCCUUCUCUGUGUGGGGAGUGGAGGUGUUGCAGGGAGGAAGCUGAAGAGGAACGGGAUGGACGCGGAGACGAAGCGCCGGGUGGAGAAGAUGGUGGUGGGUAUAUUGGAGAAGGCGGACAUGACAGAGAUGACGGAGUUCAAGGUCAGGUCGUUGGCCUCCGAGCGGCUAGGCAUCGAUCUCUCCGGCAGCAGGGAGGUGAAGAAGUUCGUGCGGGGAAUUGUCGAGAACUUCUUGGAAUCCAGGGCAGCGCAGGCGGAGGGAGGUGGUACGGCUGGGGACGAGGAGGAGGUAGAGGAGCAGAGGGGCGACAGGAAGAGAGGUAGAGCGGCUCAUGAUGAUGAUGAGGAAGAGGAGGAGCAGGAGGAUAGCAGUGGUGAUGAGGAUGUCGAUGAAAAUGGAGAUCCCAUCCUCUGCAGGCUCUCAAGCAAAAGAAGAGUAACGCUGCAGGAGUUCAGGGGAAAGACGUUGGUUUCCAUUAGGGAGUACUACCUGAAGGAUGGGAAGGAGCUUCCUUCAUCUAAAGGAAUAAGUUUGACAACUGAACAGUGGGUUGCCUUCAAGAAAGCGGUGCCUGCCAUAGAAAAAGCUAUUAGAGAGAUACAGUCGGGUUAGUGAACGAGUAACAAAAGGCCCAGAAGCUGAGACCAUGGAAAUGAUCUAGACUAUUUUUUUGACUUAGUGAGGUUGUGCAGAGAUGUAAUGAGUUAUGCAACUGGGACGUAGGUGCUGUAUAUGUGCAGUUUCUGCAGAACAGGAGUUUUCUCAUCCCUCUUUGUUUUCUAAGAAAUACUAGGGAACUUGAGGAUAUAUGCUCAGACCUAGGGUAUUCACAAAGAAGACUAAGGGUGACUUUCACUUAGACGGA